GCAGCAGUAGGGAAUCUUCCACAAUGGGCGAAAGCCUGAUGCAGCGACGCCGCGUGCGGGACGAAGGCCUUCGGGUUGUAAACCGCUUUCAGCAGGGACGAGGCGAAAGUGACGGUACCUGCAGAAGAAGCCCCGGCUAACUACGUGCCAGCAGCCGCGGUAAUACGUAGGGGGCAAGCGUUAUCCGGAUUCAUUGGGCGUAAAGCGCUCGUAGGCGGUCUGUUAGGUCGGGAGUUAAAUCCGGAGGCUCAACCUCCGCCCGCUCCCGAUACCGGCAGACUUGAGUUUGGUAGGGGAAGGUGGAAUUCCUAGUGUAGCGGUGGAAUGCGCAGAUAUUAGGAAGAACACCAGUGGCGAAGGCGGCCUUCUGGGCCAUAACUGACGCUGAGGAGCGAAAGCUAGGGGAGCAAACAGGAUUAGAUACCCUGGUAGUCCUAGCUGUAAACGAUGGACACUAGGUGUGGGAGAAUACGUCUUCCGUGCCGCAGCUAACGCAUUAAGUGUCCCGCCUGGGGAGUACGGCCGCAAGGCUAAAACUCAAAGGAAUUGACGGGGCCCGCACAAGCAGCGGAGCAUGUGGUUUAAUUCGAAGCAACGCGAAGAACCUUACCAGGGCUUGACAUGUAGGUGAAGCGGCGGAAACGUCGUGGCCGAAAGGAGCCUACACAGGUGGUGCAUGGCUGUCGUCAGCUCGUGUCGUGAGAU
rnacentral:rRNA from 1 species